rnacentral:lncRNA from 1 species
UGUCCUCUGCGAGGUAUCAUCUGCCCAGGGACUCCUAGGCAUAGAGACAUCGGCUGUUCUGUUGUCACCUUGAAUUCCUAGCUGGCAGUCUGCCUAGCGCUGGAUUUGUCCUCGAUCCAUGCUCUCAGCUCUCAUUCCUAGCCACCUCCCUAAGCCCACUUAGAUUCCCAACCAUCCUCGCUAGCACUUGAUUACAUAUUGCCUGAAUUGUUCCCCAGCCCACGGUGAUCAGGGCCUCCUCCUCCCUGCCCGCCCACUCGCAACUCCCAGUGUGCUCAGCUUUCCACCUCCAGAAAUCCCAGCUACUGCCAUGCACUGUCAACGCCCUCCCUCCUCCCCACACACUUCAUUCCCUUCCCUGUUAGCCUAGGCUUCACCAGCCAGCCCCUCAGCCUCCCAAACCAUCUCCCCCUGCUAGGUCCCUUCGCCUCAGCCCCGCCCCUAUGAGGCGGGACCCUAGCUCUCCCUCCACACCACAGCCCCCACCCUGACAUCUGGGCUCCCAGGUUCAGGAGCUCUGCUGGAGAAAAUCACAGCCCACGCAGAUUGGCGCUACUACAAAGUCAUCUGCAGCCUCAGCGGGCUGCUGAGCAGCCUGGAAGGGUUGUCUGGACCAAACGGAUGAGUCGCAUACUCAGGUGACUUCUUGUGAACUCCACCCCACCCCCAAUGAAUAAAGGGACCAAUCACUGGAGACCUGACAUGGUGAUUUUCUUUGAAGAAAAAGACGGCAACUUCCAGAAAUGAGUACUGUGGUUUAGAAAGAAAGCACCUGACCUUGUGGCGAGAGUUCAUCUUGUUCUGUUCUACUUAAAAAGAAAUACAGAAGAUGAAGAAAGAAGGAAAAAAAUAUUCCACUGGGUGAUGGUGAUCCAUGUCUUUAAUCGCAGCACUCAGGAGGCAGAGGCAGGUGGAUCCCUGAGUUCGAGGCCAGCCUGGUCUCCAGAGCAAGUUCCAGGACAGCCAGGGCUACACAGAGGAACCCUAUAUUGAAAAAAACAAACAAAACAAAACAAAAAUAUAAACCAGUUUCCUUAGACUUAGAGAAUUCCAGUCUCUCUGCGGAUCCUGAGCCCUCUGAGGGGCCUAACAAGAACUUUGCAGACAUUCUUUGCCUGCUAAAGAAACCCUGACUACACAGCUGGUUCCUUCACCAGGGCUCCGAGUUUUUCUACCAAUUCCUUUCUACUCCUCCUUUGUGACUUUGCUUCAUGUCCAUUAGAAGGGGAAAGAGAGAUAAUUUCUGCUUCUUCGAGAGAGGCCAAGAUGAAGCCAAACUUCUAAAAAGAUGGGGACUCAUUAUUUAAUAUAAUUUCAGGAUUAGCCUUGGGUAUUUCAGUGGAGGGGCUAAAGGAAAGG